rnacentral:rRNA from 1 species
CUCCUUGCACACACCGCCCGUCGCCUCACCGAAGCUGGUUCUUGGCGAGGUGGCGCCUAAUUGGCGCUAUCGAACCUGGGGUCAGCAACGGGGAG